UUGUGGCUGCGGCUCAUGAUCGCCGUGGCGGUUGGGCGAUUGGGUGCUGUGGAUUUUCUCGUGGCCGUGGGUUUUUCGUCGGAUUUCUUCAGAUCACGGGCGUGUCCAGCUACUCACUCCACUUGGCACUCAGCUCGUCGCUGAUAAUUCCACUGGGGACGGACGUAAACGUAGCGCUCGUUCACGUGGGAUGGCAGAUGUGAGAAGCUGUGGAAAACGUAGGUGUCGUGAAAGGGAUGGCAGAUGUAGUUUUCACAGUGACGGUUGUUCUUAUCCCAAGCUGGUUAACUGCAACUUGACAUUUUUUGCAAGCUUGCCUAGAUAUUGAGCUGCUCUGUCUACUCGUACACUCUUUCUUUUUUUUAGGGAAGUGAAGAGUUGGCAUUUCUUCAGGCACCUGCCAUUGCCAUCCUUCUGUAACAAGCACAAGUGUUGGGACUAUAAACCAUGGCCAUCAGUUACAGCAGUUAACCAGUCACAACAGAUAAAUGUAUAGAGAAGGGGCUGCGUGUUCUGAGCCUCUAGUAGGUGAUUUCCAUGCACCUCUUCAGCCCCUAAAAUAAGGAGUUCCUUGAACAAAAGAUGCUUUGGCAAUUGGAAGCCUGGAAAGGGAACAAUCUUUCUAUGGGAGAUCUAAAGCUAAGGGUGGUUUGGGAGUUAAAGAUCCGGGGAAACUAAACAUCAGGCUCCUCUGUAAGUGGUGGUGAAAAUUAGAUGAUCAUGAUGACCUUUGGCAAGAUGUUGUUAAAUCUAUGUACUUCAGAAAGCACAUUGUGCCUAGCUAGAGUUAAACCCUGGUUUGAAGAUUCUCCUGCUCAGAAAAAUCAUUUGAAAGUGAAUGAGGUAUUUCGCGUAAAGGGGGAGUGAUGAGAUUUUGGAAGGACCCAUAGGAGGACAGCGUGCCUUUGGUUGAGAAAUAUCAUGCGCCUUAUGGUGUUUGGCAUAUUCAGGAAUGUAAUGGUCCUAAUGUUUUUCAACUUC